rnacentral:rRNA from 1 species
CGGAGAGGGCCCAUGAGAAAUGGCUACCACAUCCGAGGAAGGCAGCAGGCGUGCAAAUUACCCAAUCCCGACACGGGGAGGUAGUGACAAUAUGUAACAAUAUACGGCUUUAUUGUCGUAUAAUUGGGAUGAGUACAAUUUAAAUCCCUUAACGAGGAACAAUUGGAGGGCAAGUCUGGUGCCAGCAGCCGCGGUAAUUCCAGCUCCAAUAGCGUAUAUUAAAGUUGUUGCAGUUAAAAAGCUCGUAGUUGGACCUUGGGCCUGGACAGGCGGUCCGCCUCACGGCGUGUACUGUCUUGCUGGGCCUUUCCUCUUGGUGAUCUGUGGUUUCGGCCGCAGGGAACCAGGACCUUUACUUUGAAAAAAUUAGAGUGUUCAAAGCAGGCUUUACGCCAGAAUAUAUUAGCAUGGAAUAAUAAAAUAGGACGUGCGGUUCUAUUUUGUUGGUUUUUGGGAUCGCCGUAUUGAUUAAUAGGGACAGU